UUUGUUCUUUCUGUCUUCACAAUAAAUCUUGCUGCUGCUCACUUUUUGGGUCUGUGCCACCUUUAAGAGCCUGUAACAUUCACCCUGAAGGUCGGUGGCUUCAUUCUUGAAGUCAGUGAGACCAGGAACCCACCGGCAGGAACCAACUCCGGACACAGCGCCACUGCACUCCAGCAUGGGCGACAGAGCAAGACUCAGUAAAUAAAUAAAACAAAAAAAGCAUGCACGCACAAAGCAACAAAAACGUUUCAAAGAACAUCUUGAAAUCAGCCGGGAAGGAGAAAAACACACCAAACGAUGAUAUAAUUGAUGAUGAUCUUCUGAUAACAAAAAACAGGCUUUAAAACAAGGGAAUGGGAUCCGUAAGAUUUAAGAGUGAGAGAGAGAAUAAAACUUCUGAAAACAUUUCUGUUUUAUACCAACGAAAAUACCAUUUUAAAAUGAGGGUCAAGUAAUGCCAUUUGCAGAUAAAUGAAAGAUGAAUUUGUUACCAGCAGAGCUACAUUAAGACAAAUGAUAAAGAAGUUCUUUUGGCCAAAGGAAACUGACAUCAUAUGAAUUUGAGACACAGAGAAGAAAAAAUAACAUAGGAAACGUUAAAUAUGUGGGGGGAGAAGUUGAGACUCAGGGAGAACAUACCAUUAACAAGGAGCAAAGCCUGAAGCAGGACUCAGG
rnacentral:lncRNA from 10 species